GAGGGAAACAGCCCAGUGGUAGGGCACAUGCUUAGUAUGCAUGAGGUCCUGGGGUCAAUCUCUAGUACCUCCA
rnacentral:tRNA from 1 species